rnacentral:rRNA from 1 species
UGCUUGAAUAUACCGGUUCUCGUUAGAUCACCGAAGUUAAGCAUCAUUGGGCGCGGUCAGUACUUGGGUGGGUGACCACCUGGGAACACCGCGUGCCGUU